rnacentral:rRNA from 1 species
GACGAACGCUGGCGGCGUGCUUAACACAUGCCAGUCGAACGGAAAGGCCCUGCUUUUGUGGGGUGCUCGAGUGGCGAACGGGUGAGUAACACGUGAGUAACCUGCCCUUGACUUUGGGAUAACUUCAGGAAACUGGGGCUAAUACCGGAUAUGAGCUCCUGCUGCAUGGUGGGGGUUGGAAAGUUUCGGCGGUUGGGGCUGGACUCGCGGCUUAUCAGCUUGUUGGUGGGGUAGUGGCUUACCAAGGCUUUGACGGGUAGCCGGCCUGAGAGGGUGACCGGCCACAUUGGGACUGAGAUACGGACCAGACUCCUACGGGAGGCAGCAGUGGGGAAUAUUGCACAAUGGGCGGAAGCCUGAUGCAGCAACGCCGCGUGCGGGAUGACGGCCUUCGGGUUGUAAACCGCUUUCGCCUGUGACGAAGCGUGAGUGACGGUAAUGGGUAAAGAAGCACCGGCUAACUACGUG